UACAGAGGUCCCAAGCGUUUGUUCGGAUUCACUGGGCGUAAAGGGUGCGUAGGCGGUCGGGUAAGUCUGACGUGAAAUCUCCAAGCUCAACUUGGAAAUGGCGUCGGAUACUAUUCGGCUCGAGGAAUGGAGGGGAGACUGGAAUUCUCGGUGUAGCAGUGAAAUGCGUAGAUAUCGAGAGGAACACCAGUGGCGAAGGCGAGUCUCUGGACAUUUCCUGACGCUGAGGCACGAAAGCCAGGGGAGCAAACGGG
rnacentral:rRNA from 1 species